ACCUGGGUGGCUCUGUUGGUUGAGUGUCUAACUUUGGCUCAGGUCAUGAUCUCAGGGUUCGUGGGUUCAAACCCCACCUUGGGCU
rnacentral:tRNA from 1 species